AGCAGCCGCGGUAAUUCCAGCUCCAAUAGCGUAUAUUAAAGUUGUUGCAGUUAAAAAGCUCGUAGUUGAACUUCAGGCCUGUCCAGAUGGUCCGCCUUAAUUGGUGUGUACUGUCCUUGGGUGGGUCCUACCUUCUGGCGAAGCGGCAUGGCCUUAAUUGGUUGUGUCGGGGAACCAGGACUUUUACUGUAGAAAAAUUAGAGUGUUCAAAGCAGGCAUAUAUGCUCGAAUACAUUAGCAUGGAAUAAUGGAAUAGGACGAUGGUUCUAUUUUGUUGGUUCUAGGACCGUUGUAAUGAUUAAUAGGGAUAGUUGGGGGCAUUAGUAUUCAAUUGUCAGAGGUGAAAUUCUUGGAUUUAUUGAAGACUAACUACUGCGAAAGCAUUUGCCAAGGAUGUUUUCAUUAAUCAAGAACGAAAGUUAGGGGAUCGAAGACGAUACAGAUACCGUCGUAGUCUUAAACCAUAAACUAUAGACCGACUAGGAACUCGGGCGUAUGUUAGACAAAAUGACUCC
rnacentral:rRNA from 1 species